rnacentral:lncRNA from 1 species
GAACCAAUUACCAACGGUGUAAUUCCAAAUCUUGAUAGCUCCAUGCUGAUCCCAGUCACCUUCAUGAACUUUGACUCCUUGAAUGUUUUUGGAGGUGGCGGUGGGCAAUUUGUGAGUUUCACUCCUCCAAAUCUUGAAGAACUUGUCAGCUGGUGCUUUCAGUUCGACUUCAGUCUCCAGUUUUCCCUUCAAAUUAGCCAUGUUGGCACAAAUAUUGAGACUCCAAAAUUCGCGAAGCUCGUUGGAACAAUGGCCUGUGCUGAGAAAAAAGAGGUGUGGCUUGCUUCUUAAAUUGACUUUGGCGUUUCGUCUCUUCUUCAGGUCCCACAGAUCACGGUUCAUGUGGUCCUUGACAUGUUUACUAAUUAUAUCGACGUGUCAAAUUGCUAUUGGAGUGCUUUAUAAAAUGUAUUUUGGACCAAUAAAAAGAUAUGCCUGAUCAAUUAUGACCGUGGCCUGUUGAUAAUGGAUGCAAUUCAAGCCGUACAUUUUUUUUGGUCAUUAGCAAUUAAAUGUCUAAUUCAUACAUUUCUAAUAUUCUCAUAAUGAGCUCUAAUACUCUAUGAAAGUUGCCCGUUGAAUUCAUCUUCUAAUCUGAUUGAUCUGCCAAGGUCAACUUAAGAUUAUACCCAAUGCAUAAUAUAAAGAAAGAGGUCAAUUACCUGGCCUAUAGGUGGACUCAAGGUAUAUUCGGUGAGUUAGAAGAUGCCUUCAUCAUUUCUUUAAAAUAUUAUUAUGAUGUGCACUUUAAAAUAUUAUUAUGAUGUGCAUGUGAGGGUGUUAAGCGAAAAACGUUCCAUAUUUGGCAUAUAAAUCAUUAUUUUAAUUUUUUUAAGUCGAGUUGAGCCUAACUAGAUAAUGUAUAUAUUGGUAGGUGUAGAUUUAAGGUCUCUCUUGAGGAUCUCCAUAGGUGAAGAUAUCGGAGUUAUAUUGUGCAUCUCAACAGGUGUUUUCUCAAAAUGAGAAUUUACAAUGUGACUCUUUGAUCGUGGUGGUAGAUGGUAUCCCUCGCUUCUUCCCAAGUUUAAUUGGGCAAAGGCGAGUGAGGUAGAGUCAGAAGGGCAAACAUUAUUCAUGCAACCAUUAGCCAAAACUAAUGAGGCAAGGUAGAGAUUCAAGUUGAGAAUGUUUUUUUUUUGGUAAAGGUAAGAUAAAUAAUAAGAAAAGCCAAAUGUACAAAAGAUCUCGUCACCAGAACUUGCACUCCAAAUGUAGUAACAAAAGAAGUGGAAGGGUGACGAGAUGCAAAAGCCGCAGAGGCGGCACAACAACUACAACAACAAGGCCAAACUAAGCACGACUAGCUCGACCAGCUAUCAAGCAAAGACAAAAAACAAAGAGGAGGCCAUCGUCUGAUCUAGGACCUAAGGGUCCCCAUUGAAAAUAAUCGGGUCUAGACUCCAACUUCUCUGCAGCCUUCUGUUUCUGAAAUUGUCUUCAACGUUCCUGAAGGUGAUAGCCUUGUCGCGAACCACUUUAAAGAGGUGGUUUUUAAUGGCCGGAAUAGAGAGAGGCUGGUCUCUAAAGAUGAUGGCAUUCCUAUUUUUCCAAAUGAUAUGACACAGCGCGCCAAAUGAAAAACGGGCUAUGCACUUAUAGAAAUCUUUCCCCAUCAAAUAGGUAGUUGCCCAUAUGAAAUUCUCCCCCCAACCUCUGUUGCGCCAGGGUAAAUUGCAUCUGGACGCCCAAAAGAAGGCAACACUAGCCGUGACACAGCAGUCAAAAAACAAGUGGUCAAGAGAGUCAGGCACAUUCUUGCAAAAUGCACAGGUAGCAUUUCCAAUAAUACCAUAGGCCAAAAGUAGAUCCUGGGUUGGAAGCCUACGUCUGGCCAUGAGCCAAAGAUUGAGCUGAUAUCGAGGCACUAUGGCGUUGUCCCAUACAAAGGAGUACCAGUGGACCCGCGUCUUCUUCUUCCUGAUGAAGUUCCACGCCGAUGCCAUAGUGAAUUGGCCCGAAGAGCUUCCUCGCCAACAGCAACGAUCCGGGUCAUUCGUCAGGGUCGGAAGAGGUUGCCCCCACGAUUGAAGCACCAAUCUAAGAGCUUGGCCAGCAUCUGAGAAGAGGUCAGCAACACAAGCUUGUCUAGAGAGCCCUGAGCUAUAGAUAAGAGAGUCUGAAAAGAACAGGUUCAAGGGCCCUCUAGGAUGCCAGUUGUCAAACCACAGAGAGGUUGUUUGGCCAUCGCCAAUUUUCCAGACGAAGGCCAUCCUAAAAUUCCUUCUUAGGGUCAACAAGCUCUUCCAGGCCCAGGAGCUAGAAGUUGGCUUCCUAGCAACCCAAAAAUUCUUGUUUUUUAAGAACGUGGAAUGGACCCAUCUACACCAUAGCGCUUCCUUGUCGGAGAACAAGAUCCAAAUAUGCUUUAGCAUGUAGGCUUUAUUGCAAUCUUGGAGCCUCCUAACACCUAGCCCUCCUUCAUCCUUUGGAAGGCAAACGUCAUCCCAGGCUACCUUCGCACCACCCCUGCCUAGGUCCGGACCUUUCCAUAGGAAUUGUCUAAAUAUUUUCUCUAUCUGUUCUAUCACAGCUGAAGGUAAGACAAAGACACUAGCCCAGUAGGCUUGUAUAGCAUGAAGAACUGACUUGAUAAGCUGAAGCCGACCAGCAAUAGAGAGGAAACGGUGAGUCCAAGACUGAACCCUUGCAGUGAUGCGAUUGACCAGGGUACAACAAUCUGCUUUAUUGAUUCUCGAAGUGAUAAUGGGAACCCCCAGGUACCGAACUGGCAGGCUUCCUUCUCGAAAGCCCAACUCCAAUAGAAUAUUAUUCCUUAGGGAAGGAUUGCCACCCGCCAAGAAAAUUUCACUCUUGCACGAGUUAGGACGAAGGCCACUCCAGGAGGAAAAUAUGUUUAGAGCUUCCUUAAGGAGAGUUACCGAAGGAAGGUGCGCCUCACAAAAAAGGAAGACAUCAUCUGCAAAGAAUAGAUGUGAAAGACCCACUGCCCUGCACCUCCAAAAGAAUUUGAAAUCAGGUCUCGAGGAUUGCUUAAGAAUGAUCCCUGAGAGCACUUCCAUGACCAUAGUGAAAAGGUAAGGCGAGAUGGGAUCCCCUUGGCGAAGACCUCGACCGCUCGCAAAAAACCCGUGGAGCUCUCCAUUCAAAGCAAUUGAGAAUUUAGGAGUGCGAACACACGUCAUAAUUAGGCUAGUGACAGAGUGAGGAAAGCCAAAGGCUAGCAUCACAUUCUCAAGGAAGCUCCAAUCCACCGUAUCAUAUGCUUUCCUGAAGUCCACCUUUAUCGCACAUUUAGGUAGAUAAGGCUGAAGGUGAAAGCUAGAGAAUAGCUCCUGGGCCAGUAAUAUAUUGUCCCUAAUUCGUCUACCUUUUAUAAAAGCAGUCUGAAAAGGGCCUAUCAUGUUCUUCAAAGCUAGGGCCACCCGAUUAGCUAGCACCUUUGUAAUACACUUGUAGAUAGUGUUACAACAGGCGAUAGGUCUAUAAUCCUCCACAGAAGUGGCGUUGAGCACUUUCGGAACCAUUACCAAGAUGGUAUUGUUAACCUCCCUCAAGAGUUUUCCGGAGUUAAAGAAGUCCAACACUGCAGUCGUUACUAAGGGACCUACCGUGUCCCAGUUUUCUUUGAAAAACUCCGCUGUGAAACCAUCUGGCCCAGGAGCCUUUUUCUUGGGCAAAGAGAAGAUAGUGUUCCGGAUCUCUAUCUCUGUAACUGGUUGAGCAAGAAGAGCAGCCUGAUCAAUCGAAAGUGGAUGUUGGAUAACCUCUCUCAAGUCCUCUAACGAAGGUCUAAUAAUCUCCUCUUGUGGCAUCAAGAGGUCCUCAAAGAACUCUACAAACCUUCGUUGCACCAGGUGUGGCUCCGUCAGUAUGUUCCCCGAAGAGUCGAGGACGGAUAGGACUCUGUUCCUCAACUGUCUUUUGUUGACAUAUUGAUGGAAGAAUUUGGUAUUUCGGUCUCCCUCCUUGAGCCAUCUAACCCUGGACUUUUGCCUGUAGAAGGACUCUUCCGAGGAGCGCAGCUCUGCAAAGAUACAUCUUUGGCUUUUCUCCACUUCAGCAAGGUCGGUAGAAAAGGGAUUUAGUUGUAAUUCUGCUUGGGUGGCCUCCAUCAUCUUCCGCGCAUCAAGAGUUCUAGCAGAUAUAUUAGAGAAGGAAUCUCUGUUGAGUUGCUUAAGCCGACAUUUGAGAGCCUUGAGUUUAGAGACAAGCUUGUACAUAGGGAAACCAUUCCCCGGCUCAUUCCACACUUGUGAGACAAUUUCUUUGAACUCCGGGUGCUUCAUCCAGAAGUCGAAGAACUUGAAGGGCUUCCUUGUAUGAGUCGGAUUAAGAAUCUUCACCACCAUAGGCGAGUGGUCUGAGAUUCCAGGAGGAAGGAAGGAGGCUUCAGAGUAAGAUAGAUCCAAGCUCCACUUUGCAUUCACUAGAACCCUGUCAAUCUUCCUUGCUUUCCUAGUAUGCCCUGAAGACGUAGUCCAAGUGUAUCUAAACCCAACGAACCUCAAGUCUUCUAGCUCAGCUUGCUCCAAGCACUGUCCAAACUCAUUGAAACAAGGGAGCCAAUCUUCGGAGCCACCGACCCGGUCCGAUGGAUCCUUAAUAGCAUUGAAGUCCCCCAAGACAAGCCAAGGAGUGUCUCGGAGAUGGGUGCUUUUCAUGAUGAUGUCUUCCCACAGCGGUCUCCUCAGCGAAAAGGAGUGAUCUCCAUAAACAAAAGAAACACAGCAAGCCACCCCAGAGUCUAGGGUCUCAAGGUUCCCAUGAAUUGCCUGCUUGGAAAGAGAGAAGGUUUCAAACUUGACUCUCAUGGGGUCCCAUCCGACCCAAAUUCUACCCCUGGGGAAGAAGUCAUAGUUUGCAGUCCAACACCAACCUCUCAAUAGAGCUUCGGAAAUGGAGUUAAAGCGAUCCUGUGGCACCUUAGUUUCCACCAAACCAACACAGCACAAGUGGUUCGAAGUAAUAAAAUUACGAAUCUCCGCUUGUCUAGUCGAAUCAACCAUACCUCUAAUAUUCCAGCAACCUAUAUACAUAUGUACAAAAGAGGAAACGAGGAAGGGUUACCUCCUUUUCGGAGGCUUGCGACGGCUCUGAGAGGGAGCCGCUCGAGCCGCUGGAGGAGGUGGGUCAGGAGGAAGCACGAGCGGCUUGUCCUGGGUGUUCUCCUCCAUGUUUUUCGUUGGAGAAGCCUUCGGCGAUAGAUCUGGAGGGGCCUUCGGUGAUUGACAAGGCGAGAGAAGAUCUUCAUCUGAGCUAAGGUGGUUGACAGACUCAUUCAAUUCCGCUCCACUCCCUAAGCCUGCAUCUGGAUGGCUAAUGGGAUCUUCCUCCAUUGUCGAGGUGUGGUCAUCCACACUAAUUAGUGCUUGAAACCCACUCUGAGCCCUCCGGGUGGAGGUUGAUGGCAAGCUUUUAAGAGCUGCUUCUGACUGCUUGAAAGGUGGUUCCUCUUCUCCAGAGCUUGAUGGAUGGUCUAAAUAUGUCUCCUUGGGAGGGGGAGAUUUGUUCUUCUUUCCCUUGACUUGUUUCCAUCCAAAAUCAGCCUCAUUCAGGUCUACCACCAGCAUUGGUGAAGUCUCAGAGGGGCGGGCCUCCACUGGUGGGGGGGGAGGAAUGGUCUGAACUUGUUUCUGGCCUUGCACCGCCUUCCGCCCAUUCAAAGAGGUUGCACAAUUGUGCCCAAAGGAGCCACACUUCAAGCAUUCCGCUGGCUUCCACUCGUACUCAAUGGCAAUCGACCGAACAACUCCGUUUAGUCUUACCCUGGUCAAGUAGAACCUUGGCUUGUUUACUUGAAUCUCCACACACACUCUUGCAAAAGAGAUCCUUUGAGAUUGCUCCGUGCGUUGAUCAACAAAUAACGGCUUGCCAAUGGUGCUCGCGAUGGCGCUAUUGCCGGGGCUGUCCAUAGGUCAAGAGGUAGGUUUUUCAAGCGAAUCCACACUGGCACCGAGGUUUGCUUCUCCCUCUUCAACUCUAGGAGCGGCUUCCAUUGUUGCAAAACAAGUGCAACCCUUGCAACCGUUAUAUGACCUUCUUCCAAAAUCUUCCUUCUGAACUCAGGGUCAGGGAUGCGGAAGAAAAAGAAACCCUGGUCAUCGGCAAAAACCUCAACAAGCUUCGGUCCCCAACAUAGCUUGAGCGAGUUCUCCGUGAGCUGGAACGGCAAACUCUUCCCUAUAUAAUAUCCAACCAGACACUCAUGCCAUUUGGGAUCCACCGCAUCUAACACUUCUUCAGGAAGAUCCACCACCGGGACAUCAUCCUCAAACGAGGGAGGAACAAAGGUAAGGUCAUACCCUUUCGCUGCAAGUUUCGCAACAUUCGCCCACGUCCGGACAGCCGGGGCGUCUGGUUUCUUCGCUUGUUUUUGCGAGGCUUGAGGCCCUUUGGAAGCCGACCUUGCUCUACUUCGUCCUCUCGAGCGCCUAUCCCUGCCUGUAGCUUUGGGACCACGGUUUGAGGUCUCUGCUAGUGCAGGAGCCUUGCCCGUGUGCAUGGAGGCCCGGGCCUCCUUGUCUCGAUUGAGGAGGCUAGACGUCCUCUCCGAUUCAUCCCUCAAUUGUGCCGUAUUACUCGGCUCACCACCCACAGCCAUUGGAGCAGCCAUAACACUACCUAACCAGCUAAACCCAGUCCUCUACACAUCAGCCAUCUAGAGAGUAAGAGACUAACCGUUCGGACGCCUCGCACCUCUCGGGUUGGCUGGACGCAGCAAGGACGGGGCAGGGAGGAGGACCAACAGACCGCUCAGGAGCAAGGCGGCUUACUUGAUGCCCUCUUCCCGCUUCAAUCAGGUCCGGGACGCACCAGCUCUGCUCCUCAAGGGCCGAGCAACGCAGCAACUCGGUGCAGGGCGCGGCACAGCAGGGGCGGAGCUGAGCCGCAGCACAGCGUCGAGCACCAGCAGCAGUUCGGUGCAGGGCACGGCACAGCAGAGGAGCACCAGCAACCGUUCAAUGAGCCGAGGGAAGCUUACCUAACGUUGUUGGGACGCCUGCGAAGCACAGACCCGAGCCGCACCAGUACCGCACCUCCAAGGGCCGAGCGGCGCAGCAGAAGGCGAUUUCCGAAGCUCAGAUCUCGCCGCAGGGAUGGAGAGAGUCUAAUCCGUUCGGUGAGGAGCGAGGGCCUUCCCAGAGGAGCUGAACCCCCAAUUUUCACGCCAAUCGGAGGUCUGGAUCGGCCGGAUCGAGCAGCUGACGCCGGCGAGCUACAGUUCAAAACCCCAGAGGAAGAGAGGCGAUGAACAGUACCCGUGCGAGCAUUUUGGCUUUUUGAUUUUCAUUUUGUUUGUUGUUGCAGGAUGGGAAAAUAUUGAAGCGGAGGUUAAACUUACCGGUAUUCUCAGUCUUGGGGCAUUGCAGCCUGGAGAAACUCGAAAAUACGGCACCACCAUUGCACCUGGGCUCUAUGCCCCAGUUCAUCAACAUUUCUUUGUGGCUUGGGUGGACAUGGCUGUUGAUUGUAAGCCUGGUGAAACCUUCAAUCAGGUAGUUUAUAAGCUUGAAACUUUUUGCGAUCCUUUACUUUUCCCUGGCAAUAAUUGGCUUUAUUUUUCCUGAUUGUUUGCCGCCUUCUUUUGGAAUUUCUGAACCAUAUCACCAUUCUGCUUUGAAUGUUAAAGAAAAAUCUGUUCUUUUAGUCAUAAAUGCAUUUGUUCAGAUACUGCAUGCUUGUCGUAUGAUAAUCCUGCAGUGUUAUCUCUAAUCUGCAAACCAUGCAUGUUUGUGCAGGCAUAAGGCAUAUCGAGAGUCAACUGGGACGGUUUCAUGCAGCCAUGGUGAACUUGCAGACCCAGUGGCUGCAGCGGAGGAAAUAGCUUUCUGUAGAGCAUGUGCUCGGUUUGGCUUAGGCCUGUAUCUUUAUCAUGAAGAGUAGACGCUGUAUGGAAUCAACCUAUAGACCAAGGGACAGAAAUGGUGUGGAUUGGGUACAAGAUGCUCCUAGAUGGAUUUUGUGGGAUUAUAGUCCACAGUUCUCUUUUAAACUAUUUGAUGAAGGCGAUUUUGACCCGGUACUAAGCAUGAGAGACACAUAAUAAGCAAGGAAAAUAAGGGGCAAAUAAGGGGCCUUAGGACCUCUUGCUCUAUUACUUUAUGAGUUUCGUGGAAGCCCCUCAUGGCCUAAGUCCGUUUACUCCUUGAUGGGAUAUUGACUCUGAUUGCGCUAAUUUUUUGGCCCCCGUUGGUCUCUUUAUGUUGGGUAUUUCGUCUCAUAGCGAUCUUUUCCCAGUUAGACAUCUCUAAAAAUUAUGCUCCUUUAAACAUAGCUAUUAAGCAUAGCUAUGUUUUUGGUUUGUUUGUUAGCUGUACUAUUGUGGGAGUACUUUUUCUAAACUUUCAAACUUUGUCAAUAUAAUCCAAAAAAAAUUGCAUGAGAUUCCAAUGAGUUCUUCCAGCCAAUCAAUAGAAUUAAAAAGUUUAAAAUUGAAGUGCAAUGAGUUUAGUUUUAGUUUAGGACUGAUUGAGCAGUUUUCUCAAGAUACGUGCUUCUCUCUCGUUCCGUUUCUUCGUUUCUUCCCACAUAUACUGCUCAAAAUUGCCUAAGGGCAUUGGGUGGCCAUAAGUCUUGUAUUUGCCAGCUCGUUCUUAUGGCAGUGCUCCUUCAGAAAAAGUCCAAAAGAGUUUUCGCCCAGCAACCAUACUUCUCUAUAUAUUAUCUCCUUGAGCCUUACAGGUCUGCCCCUAUCAUCGUGCUUUCUUUUUGGGAUGGUUACCAUCGUUUGUACAAGAAGUCAAACUGACCCUUAAAUAUUUCUAAGAAUCAAUGCCUUGGUAAGCUAAUGAAGAUGCGAGUAUUUCUGGCCAUUAGCCAUAAAUGCUGACCGGCGACUGCUAAUAGCUAACCACUUGAACGGCUGUCUUUUCAUUAGCAUAAGUAUUGAUAAGUAAUUGCAUUGAGAUGUUCUAUCUAAACCUUGACAAAAGGAAGAACUUCUCCUUAUGUAUUGCGACUCAGAUGGAUGCUAACUAUUGAUGACUGCAGGCGGUUGCAUUCAAACCUGUAAUUGAGGGAAACACUUGUAAUAUAGCUGAUCAGAGUGGUUCGGAAAAACGCCGGCUUAUCUUGCACCAGUAGUCCAACAUCUCAGGCAAGAAGAGCUGAAGGACUUAGCAAAUCAUUCUCACGAAGCCCUUGAAUUGUCAUUUUGGUGCCAGCUGUCGAGUUAGCUUCACAGGUUUGGCAGUUGGUAUCCAUUGCGGACACAUAUUUCCCUAGAUUCACAAGAUAGCUCGUCUGUCCUUCAUCAAACCAUCGGCCAGCACACUGCGAAACAAAUGUUUUCAGUAUUUGAUCAGAUCCCUUCCAAAUACGAGAAUCGCAGCACUAAUAUGCAAUUCAUAUCAACCAUGGGAGCACAGUGAUCAAACAGACGUGCAUUGCUCUCCAAUAGUAGGGGAGGAAGGACACCGCGUAGUUCUUAGAAUUCAUGCAAUAGUGGUAUAACUAGAGAAAAAAGGAAAGUGGAGCUUCCCACCAAGUUGACUUUCUAUGUUUGAUUCCAGUAAAUCAAGAAAUAGAGAAGAUAAUACAUAGGAUAUGGAAAAACCUCAAAUUGAAGGGCCUCCGAGAUUCUACGCCACAAGGCAGGCAUAGGACCACUCAGUACCCAUUGAGCAGUGCUUUAGGAUUGUUGCUUCAAGCCCUGAACGGUGUAGCCGGAGCCCCACUCGAAGUUGUCCAACAAUGACCAUUCCAAAUAAUCCUUCACGUUCCUAGUACAAACUUAUGAAAUUUGAGACUUUGUGCCCAAUUAUGAGAAGAAUCUUGCUUGAAAAUUUCUUACUUGAUUGCCUUCAGGAGAUGGGGAGUAAUAAUAAUCUAUUGGAUCCAUUCCUGACGAAUUCAACAACUCUACACUAUCGUUAAUUCUGUCAAAGAGCAACACAGGAAGCUCACGCUGGCUCUCAUGAAGAAGGCCAAGGAGAUUUGCGCUGCUCGAGGGGUAAUUCCUUCAAUUCCGUUUGAUUCUUUUUCAUGUUGGAACAAACGUGACGAUGGGGAUAGCACAUGCUUGGAGUCAUUGGAAUGAGCUUGCAUGUGGAUAAUUUGAAUUUGCACUUUGCUGUGAAAUUGAAGAACCCUUCCGCGGUAGGCCUUAAAGCAAUCAUCAUGUUGUUCAGGAAUAACAUCCUAAGAAACCUAAUUCAAAUUUAAAAUAGACUAAAUCAUGUAAUAGUCAUCCCCCGGCAGAUUAUUAUUAUUAUUAUGCCUAUAGUAAUUUUAACUACAAUGUUUGUGUUAAUAACUGUUUGGAUUAUGUUUAAUUUGAAUUAGGUAAAUAAGAAUAUCAUUUUGUGUGGACAGUGUUGUUACUACUAAGGCCAAGUCCCUUGUUUCGGGUAAGAUCCACCAUUUAAAAAAUUAUAUUCAAUUGCAAAAAGUUUUUUCUUUUUUUAAUACUAGACUAGAAUUGUAUUUUCGAAUUGAUAAAAGAGUAAACCUUUUUUCAUAAGAAAAUCAAUUCCAGUCAAAAAAGACGCCGUCACCCGGGGAGGGGGCACUGCGCACGGGGAGUUCCUUGGGGGCCUCACAAAAUUGUUGUGUUUUCUGUUGCUUCCCGCCUAAAAUUCAUCCUCUUCUUGGUCGCACCUCUCCUCCGAGCCUCCAAUCCCCUCGCCUCUCCUCUGCACCUCUCCUCCCAUUGAUCCCCAUUGAUCGCCAGCCAAACCUCUCCUCCGAUUGCCUGCCCGAGUCCACGCACUUGCCGCAUCCGAGUAAGCAUCCGAGUUCCUCCACAAUCAGUCAGCUUGUAAAUCUAUGGGCAAAUCUAUCGGCGAGCAUUUCUUGUUCUUCUCUCAUGUGAUUGGACGCUUGUGAUUGGUGAGCUUGUUCGGCAUCCUCGUUUCCCUCCGGAGAGAACGCUCGUGUGAUUUGGUAGCUUGCGAUUUUGUAGCCUGUGAUUUUCUAACCAUUAAUGGAGCUCCAGGUAAAUACAGAUCGUCCAAUGAGGUAAAUACAGAGGUAAAUACAGAUCAUCAGGAUUUAGGACUUAGGAGAAGAUCGUUGAGAUAUAGGAUGGAUUUAGGAACUGCUUGAAUUAGUGUGUUUAAGUGGUUUUUGCCUUCCUGUUUUGCGCCCUUUAAACUCUCUAAAGACUUUGAAUCUAAUAAAACGAAUAGAGAUCAAGCACGUCCGAACUUGAGAGUCAUUGUUUGUGCUUAGAUUGAUUUUUAUUAGGACAUGAACAUCCACAGUUCUACACAGCAAGAGUUUGAUUUCUGCCUUGAUUUCCCUAUUUAAUAAGUAGAUAGUUCAAAAAAUUUUCUCAUUGCCGUGGCUCGAAGAAUUGUCAGUAACAAUCAACCUUUUGAUCUCAAAUCUUUCUUUACUAAGUUAUGCAUAUCAAAUUACAACUGUAUAAUAUCCGUCAAUAUCCGUCUCAAGUCAUCUCUGUUCUUUUCUUAUAUUUCUGGGCCUUUUUUUUGGCAUCCGUUGUCGAUUCUAGCAAGUACAGCUACAGAGAAUUAGAAAUAGAAAGAGCUUCGGUGAUUUGAGUUUGGUGGUAUUGGAUGUUUGAGAGCCUGUUUUGCAUACUGAAUAUAUAUGCUCAAAUUGCUGGAGGGUCUUGAUGAAUUGAAGGAUGUAUUUUCAAAUGCAAAAGCUAAUGAACUUGUAAUGAGCUGUGCUUAUUUGUAAUUCUUUCCUGGAUGUGGCUCUUUAAGACCAGUGGAAUUGAUUUAGCAUCUGUGAAUUAGGCUUCUGUUAAUUGAAGGAGUAUGCAUUAGCAUUUUUAACCUCAACUGACAAUAUCUCUCAUUUUGAGCUGUUGUGCUUGGAUACUGGGUACAGAUGCUUGGGACUAUGAAAGGUGUAUCCAAGCUAUGUAGCUUAUGGAAACCGAGUGCCACUUUGAAGGGUCUAGGUGAUUUUAAUUCUUAAAUUUAAUGGUUAAGGUUUUUUUUUGUUAGAAUUAAAUAAUAUUUGUCUUCCAACAGGAAGUUUAUGCACCAGGACCCUAUACAACUCAUCCCCACCCCCACCCUCACCCUCACCCUUACCCUUUGGAAUACAACUCUAUACACAAAACGCACUUUGGUACUUAAGUGCCCAUCCUCAGAUGGCGGCAUCUCAGAUGGUGGUAUUUACCACAUAUACAUGGUGAGUGUCAUGCAUGAUAAGAAGGUUAGUGUCUCAAAUUUGUGUCUAAAUUUGUUAUAUAAAUAAUAUCUGGUCCCAUAAUGCCUAAAAACCGUUUGGUUGCAUUUGGUUGCAGGAAUCACAACUAAGAGUUCAAUCAAAGAUUUAAGCGGCGCAAACCAGACGUUAUAUUUUUAGAAUUAUGCAAAUCCCGAAGGUAUCUGCUUGAAGAGGUCCAGACUAGUGAAUUUUAUACUGGAUAUAUUUUUAGAAUUAUGCAAAUCCCGAAGGUAUCUGCUUGAAGAGGUCCAGACUAGUGAAUUUUAUACUGGAUGGAAAGAGGUCAAGAAGAAUAAGAUCAGAGUAGUUUUAUGGGAUUUAAGGUAUUUGCCUUGUCUUCUAGGGUCCCUGCUGCCGCCCCGCGUGAGCAUUCCUCCUGUAAGUGACGAACCAAGAGGGAUGCACACGCAGCGGAUGGCAACAGAACCAUAUAAGGCAGGCAUAGCUGAGAAAGAUGGGUGCAACAUGUUGAGAAGAUUCAAUACUUUUUACAGAGACAGCACUAAAGACUAUCAACUGUAACAAGAAAGAAUGUCUUAUGGGAGGAUGGUGCAGAUAGUGAGAGCGGUAUGGUGAUUUCAAGUCGUAGGGAGAGGGUUAAUGUGCAGGAGAUCACCANNNNNNNNNNNNNNNNNNNNNNNNNNNNNNNNNNNNNNNNNNNNNNNNNNNNNNNNNNNNNNNNNNNNNNNNNNNNNNNNNNNNNNNNNNNNNNNNNNNNACAGAUUUUAACAUCAAAACCUCUGGAAUCUUCACUCCAUUAUCUUUAAUCCAUUAAUCAAGCUCAUAUAAAUUCACAUACAAAAUCAUCCUCGGGGAAGUGGAGGUAUUUCAAUUCACAGUCAACUUUCUUACUAUGGCUACAGUCCUACUCACAUGCCAUAUCCCAACCCUAAUGUGAGGGGACGUCUUUACUCCUUUACUCAAGCUGUCACGUGAAUUCACAAUACUUCUAUGACAUCGUCCUCAACAAAAUGGAGAUACUCCAAUCUAUAAUCAACAUUCAUGCUAAGGUCGUACUCACAUGUCAUGUUUCAAUUCUAAUGCCAGGAGAAGUCUUCACUCCAUCACCCCCAAAUUCAUGAGAAAUGUGGUUAGGUGCGAAAAAUUCAAAAGAAGUGCAUUGUAGUUUAGAUUGGUACACAAGUUGAGCAGGAAGUUUCAAUUUCAUACUGUACUCUUCGUAUGUGAAAAAAGUCCGCCUGAUCUCAACUUUGGUAAUUUAUACCAAAUCAAUAUAGACGCGUGUUCAAAUUUUUUUAAUUUUCAAUGCUUGAGAACAUUUUGAACAACUCUAGCAAUCGCUUAGAAGCUGCAUCUCAUCAUCCACAGCGAAAUUGUGACGACAGCCACGAUACUAAGGUGGGACCAACGGCUCAAAUGAAUUUAGACCAAUUAUCGUAGAAACUUAUGAUUCAUACUACAUAGAUUCUUAAUUCUAGGAUGCUUCAUUUUUGGGCAGUUAGGCUAAAGCUCAAUAUGUGAAAAGUCACACGAGGAAUCGCCUAAAUUCCAAGAAAGUCACCUAAAAUGUGUCGGAAAAUCACCUGCAUCGGAUCCACUAUGAUACCAGAAUGUAAUCCUUAUUCAAGUUAAUCUAAUUUGUAUCCUAAUAUCGUCUACUGCAACUAAAUUUCAGCAUCUCUAUAUAUCGAAGUGUAUAGGUAAACGCACUCAAAGUCCAACCACAUAUUAAGCUCUUAAUGUGAUUGGAAAUUGCGAAUAUUAAUCGAUGGAGGGAUCAAAUUAAAGCAUGUAUCAACUUCCCCAUAACCAUAUCAUAUUGCAAAAACCACGAGUGUCUUAUUACAAGCACAAUUAAACGUGAACACAAAACAAGAUUCUGAUAUUGCCAAAACCCAAGUCAACUUCGCAUCAACUGAUCAUUUAGCUUGAUUUAUUGGGUCUAGAUACAUGAAAGUACUAGAAAUCUCAAGCAUAAUAUAGCACAACUUCACACAUGAUCACGGUCAUGCCAUGAUCUUUUACUUCAUGCACUUAAAACGUGAGCUUCGAUGUCCUUGACCAUGUCGAUGAAGAAGGGCAUGUACUUGUCAGGGUUAGGGUCGCUCUCCUUGUACUUCUCAUACUCGAUGCUCAGCUUGGCUAGACUGCCUUGCUCCUUUGGAAUGACUUUGCAUGCCGGCUUGAAGACCUUCCAUGUGUCAAAGACGUGGCACUCGAUGCCGUGCAGGGUGAACGACAUGUUGUCAUCAUCAAACUCGACCUUCUCUUUGAGCACUUCGGAUUUUCCUUCUACACAAUUGCACCGACAAAAAUAGAAGGUUUAAGUUAGGCGGGGUCAUCAAUUUAAUUUCAAUGACAACAUGGAAUAAAAUUGAUAAUUAGAGAGAUCAGAUUGAACCAAUUACCGACGGUGUAAUUCCAAAUCUUGAUAGCUCCAUGCUGAUCCCAGUCACCUUCAUGAACUUUGACUCCUUGAAUGUUUUUGGAGGUGGCGGUGGGCAAUUUGUGGGUUUCACUCCUCCAAAUCUUGAAGAACUUGUCAGCUGGUGCUUUCAGUUCGACUUCAGUCUCCAGUUUUCCCUUCAAAUUAGCCAUGUUGGCACAAAUAUUGAGACUCCAAAAUUCGCGAAGCUCGUUGGAACAAUGGGUUGUGCUGAGAAAAAAGAGGUGUCGCUUGCUUCUUAAAUUGACUUUGGCGUUUCGUCUCUUCUUCAGGUCCCACACAUCAUGUUUCAUGUGGUCCUUGACAUGUUUACUAAUUAUAUCGACGUGUCAAAUUGCUAUUGGAGUGCUUUAUAAAAUGUAUUUUGGACCAAUAAAAAGAUAUGCCUGAUCAAUUAUGACCGUGGCCUGUUAAUAAUGGAUGCAAUUCAAGCCAUACAUUUUUUUUCGGUCAUUAGCAAUUAAAUGUCUAAUUCAUACAUUUCUAAUAUUCUCAUAAUGAGCUCUAAUACUCUAUGAAAGUUGCCCGUUGAAUUCAUCUUCUAAUCUGAUUGAUCUGCCAAGGUCAACUUAAGAUUAUACCGAAUGCAUAAUAUAAAGAAAGAGGUCAAUUACCUGGCCUAUAGGCGGACUCAAGGUAUAUUCGGUGAGUUAGAAGAUGCCUUCAUCAUUUCUUUAAAAUAUUAUUAUGAUGUGCAUGUGAGGGUGUUAAGCGAAAAACGUUCCAUAUUUGGCAUAUAAUUCAGUAUUUUAUUUUAUUUUAAGUUGAGCUGAGCCUAACUAGAUAAUGUAUAUAUUGGUAGGUGUAGAUUUAAGGUCUCUCUUGAGGAUCUCCAUAGGUGAAGAUAUCGGAGUUAUAUUGUGCAUCUCAACAGGUGUUUUCUCAAAAUGAGAAUUUACAAUGUGACUCAUUGAUCAUGGUGGUAGAUGGUAUCCCUCGCUUCUUCCCAAGUUUAAUUGGGCAAAGGCGAUUGAGGUAGAGUCAGAAGGGCAAACAUUAGUCAUGCAACCAUUAGCCAAAACUAGUGAGGCAAGGUAGAGAUUCAAGUUGAGAAUGUUGGUAUGGAAGGAUAUUUAAAUUAAAGAGGAGCUAGCCUAAUGCAAAAGAGUCACGUGUGGAGAGAGAUUUGUUUAAGUGGAUGUGUGAAGGUUUUAGGUGUAAAAAGUUUCUCUUAUGCUUUCUUCCCUCAAAUACCAAAUCUUUCUUUCUCUCUUUUUUUCCUUCCCCCCCCCCCCCCACAAGGCAUGAUUCAUGUGACACUUGGUAUUCUUUUUCAUGUCUUAGUCAAUCUACUAGCUAAUCGGUUUAUUAAAUGUCCAUGUGCAUUACAAAAAACAAAUCUUAUUUAGUCAAUAGCUCAUAAAUAUUCACAAAUCGUACGACUUUAAUCAUAUAAUAUUUAGCUAAUUGUAUAGAUUAGCAAAUUUUAUUGAUCUAGCACAUUGUCCAAAUCUUUCACCAAGAAAAAACAAGGAUUAUUACCUUAAACCCACUUGUCAAAGAGAUAAUCUUUUCUUAGAGUGGAAAAAUCAUCCCUAACGUGUACUUGCGUUCCAUAGUUGAAAUGGAAGGAUUUACAUUGUUUUAUGUAUGUAUGUCAAACUUUGAUUAGCCAAUUUGGUCGAAACUCCAAAGGUGCGAUCAUUGUUUUAUGCGUAUACGUACAUCCAUCACACACAUAUAUGCAUGUGGGAAAUUGUUGUCAUGGCCAAAGGAAAAAAAAAAAAGUUGGAACGUGGAAGCUGUGUGAUAAAUUGUCACAUCAUCUCAAAGUAUCGAUACAACGUAAAUGGAUAAACAAAAAUUUAGAAACCGAGUUCGUAAAUACGAGAAAAAUCUUGCAAGCGCACAACUUUGCAUGAAAACAAAGGAAUUCACUCUCUAAAUGUAUUAUAAUUAAGGAUGAAAAAGCUUUUUGUUCUCCAGACAAGAAAUUUAUUCAUGAUAGAGAAAGUUGUAACCUUAAAAGGAUAAAAUAUCUAAUUCAUAUCUUUACCAAAAAAUAUAUAUAUAUAUAUCUAAUUCAUAUUGCAAAAUAGCAGCAAGUUGAAAUUUUUAUAUUAACCACCGGGGUUUGCCUCAAUAGCCACCCUUCUCACCUGAGAAGAGAGAUGUGGAGGGUUCAAAUCCUCAUUUUCUUGAAUAGGUUGGGCUGGGGACAAUUAACUUCAUGUAUAUAUUUUGACUCUCACGUCUUAUUAAGAGAUAUGAGAAAAGUAUGAGAGUGAGUUGAAAGUUAAAGUAGGACUAAUCGAAAAAAAUCUCUAUUUUGAAAAAAUGGAUGUCCUAAACUAACUAGCCAGUACUAAUUCUAAAAUCUUAUCUUCUUAAACACUCACAUGUAAGUCUUCAUCGAAUCUCAAUAUGUAUUCUUACAAAUUCGUGCGUUAUACAUAGCAUGAACUUUCAUGCUUGUCCCAAGCCUAAUGUGAGGUUAUAUAUUUACUUCUUAAUGAACAUAUCAUACCAAUUGACAAUAUUUCUACAAAAUCAUCCUUGGAAAAAUGGAGGUUACUCCAAUUAAUAGUCAACUUUCAUGUUGUAGUCAUACUCACAUGUUAUAUCUCGUCCCCAUUGCGAGGAGAUGUCUUCACUCCAUCACUCAAGCAAUCACAAGAAUUGACGAUACUUCUACAAAUUCGUCCUUUGGGAAAGGGGAGGUAAUUCUUUGCCACUGCGAAGAUUUUAAGAAAAGGAGCUAGCUUGGCAAAUGAACUCUCUUUCGGUGAAACAUGAAAAGAACACGAUAUAACAGUCAAAAUAAUAAUAAUCAUACGUAAUUCAGUUUGCAUCCUCGACUUUUGAAUUAUAGAUCUUGUACCCUGAGAUAAAAACGUAAGCAAUCAGGGGGUCUAAACAGCUAUGUAAAAUAGACAAGGCAAAGUUUGGGUUUUUUUUUCUUUUUUUAUGAGAAAAAAAUGUGCACAGUGCAGUAAUUUUGAUAUUAUUGAAAUAACUGGACGAAUACAAAUUAAUGGGAAAAUUAAGUAUCACUUUCGUAAUUCUAAGAUACUCUAUGGUACGAAUGAAUGAUAGAUUGAACAAUAAACGGAAAGAAUUUUACGCUUGGUGCAAGCAGCAAGAAAUUUAAGGUGAGUGCAAGAAAGAAAAUGGAACUAGAAAAUGGUUGAAAAUAAGCGUGACUCGGAUAUCAUACUAAAUGAUCCAGCUUAGAAAUCAGAAGGUUUAAUCAAGUGGUAAGCUUGUUCGUCCUUUUUUAUUCAGGACUUGAAUUUGAAUCGCUAUGUUUGCACAUUCUUCCAGGACCACUCCAAAGAACAUAGACCAACGUGUCUCGAAUAAUUACACACCCAAAAUAGGUGGUAUAAGAGGACUGUCACGCAUGGUAAGAAUAAGUUAGAUGUUCAAAACAUUCUGGACAUCCCAUUAAGUUCUGAAAAUAAUAAAGCACCAACAAUUAAAUGGUCGACAAGGCGAUGCAAAUUUUAACUAUCGUAAAAUAAAGAUUAAAUAGCGAAGUGAAUUACCACCCUAACAUAAAAAGGAUGAAUUCAUAAAAAAAAUUUCCUCCUCCGGCAAGAUCCUAAAUCUUCUCCGUUGGGAUGAUCCAAAGGAAUGGGGCAGAGUCGAUGUGGCCUUCCUUUGGGCUCAAGAUUCGAAAUUCAAGAAACUUAACUUUACUUAGGAAAAAAAAUCAAAUCGAUAUAGCCUCCAUCGUUUCGCAAAAAAAAAAAAAAAAUCAUUUUUCAAUAAAUAAUAGUAUUUUUUGGUAUUUGGCUGAAAUCUUAAAUGAAUUGGAAUAUAUUUUCCGUCGUUUGGUAGGAUAAUUAGAUUUUGAAGGAAAAUAUUACCCAAAAAAUCGAAUUUUUAAUUAUUUUUUCUCUCUUUUUUUUCCUUCUUCCUUGGCAAGUGGCCGACCAUGAUGAUGGCCACUAGCCACAAGCAAGAGACAAGCUCACUAGCCUUGGGUAAGCUUGUCCCUCAAUGAAGAAGGAAAAGGAAAAGAAAAAACAAAAAAAAAAAGAGAGCAAAAAAAUAAUUAAAAACAUGAUUUUUUAAAAAUAUUUUUAUAAGAAUGAAUAAUUCAUUAAUCAAGAACUCAAGCCCGAGCAGUGAGGACCCGCACAUGGCCUUUGUGGACCAGAGCUCGAGUAUGGAGGACUCGAGCAUCUCCCUUAUAGACUUAGGCAAAAGUGCCGAAGAAUCAAGCAUGGGCACUAGGGGUUUGGGCACAGCCUCAAUGGACCCGGGCAUGGGCCCAAGCCCAACCACCGGAGACCUAACGUUAGAGCUUUCAUGUCCAGGUAUAGAAUUUAUGGUCCAAACGCAAAUAUUUACUAGUUUUUCAAAGAGGGAAAUCAUUGUCCUAAAUUUAAGCACGGUUUUCCAUGGAUUAGGAGAAUGUUUUUUCUGAAAAUGUUUCCUGCAAAAGAAAGAAGGCCUUGAAAUUAGUUAAUCUUUCCACAAGUGGAAAUUAUAGCAUUCCUCGCAUAUCGAGUAAUAAUUGUCCUUGAACCAAAUAUAGUCCAGGCAUAGCAGAAAUCUAGAGGACGGACAUGUCUACUUUCAGAAUUAAUAACAUCAUGACUUUGUUUCGCUUUCAGUAUAUAGGAUUACGGAAAUCUAUCUUUAGAAAGAUAUGCGCCACCACUUGAACUAUUUUUAGGAUCACGUGGUAAGUAAUAGCACAUCAACAUAGUCGCAUGUAAGAUUUUCAAUUUUCAAUGCUUGACAACAUUAAGAACAACUCAAGCAAUCGCUUGUAAGCUGCACCUCACAUUUGACAGCGAAAUUGCAACGAUAAUCACGAUAUUAAGGUGCGGGCCAAAAGUUAUUGAAGAAUAUUACGAUUCAUGCAACAAAGAUUCUUGAUUAUAGGAUAUUUUCUUUUCUGGUCAAUUAGGCUAAAGCUCAAUAUGUGAAAAAUCACCCGAGGAACAAUCUAAAAUUCCCAAAAAGUCUCCAGAAUAUGUCUAAAAAUCGUGUGCAUCAAAUCAUCUACACUACAGAAAUAUAAUCUUUAUUCAAUUUUAAUCAAUUUGUAUUUCGAUGCUGUUUAUUGCGAUUAAAUUCAGGUAUCAACAUGAUGCGAUUACUCUAUGUAUUCUCAUGCGCAAUUGAAAUGGUCAAGUAAACACGCCCAAAGUCCACAUCUUGGACAGUAAUCUGCGGAGGGAUCAAAUCAAAGGAUGUACUACCUUACCCCAAACAAAUAAUUUUGCAAAAACCACGAGUGUCUUAUUACAAGCACAAUUACACAUGAAGACAAUAUACCAAAUCUCAUAUUCCCAAACACAACUAAACUUCACAUCACCCGAUCGACCAGCUUGAUUUAUUGGAUCAUCCCGAUACAUGGAAGUAUCAGAAAUCUCAAGCAUUAUAUAGCGAAACUUCAUAUACGAUAAUAGUCAUGCCAUGAUCCUUUCCUUCAUGCGCUUGCGAGGUGAGCAUCGAUAUCCUUGGUCAUAUCGAUGACCACGGCCAUGUACUUGUCGGGGCUAGGGUCACUCUCCUUGUACUUCUCGUACUCGAUGCUCAGCUUGGCCACACUGCCUUGCACUUUUGGGACGACUUUGCACCCCACCUUGUAGACCUUCCACGUGUCCAGGAUAUGGCCCUCGAUGCCGUGCAGGGUGAACGACAUGUUGUCAUCAUCGAACUCGACCUUCUCUUUGAACACUUCGGAUUUUCCUUCUAUAUAAUCGCACCAGCAAAAAUAUAAGGUUCGAGUUAGGCACGGCCGUCAAUUUAAUUUCAAUGACAACAUGGAAUAAAACUGAUAAUUAGACAGAUCAAAUUGAACCAAUUACCAACGGUGUAAUUCCAAGUCUUGAUAGCUCCAUGCUGAUCCCAGUCACCUUCAUGAACUUUGAUUCCUUGAAUGUUUUUGGAGGUGGCGGUGGGCAUUUUGUGGGUUUCACUCCUCCAAAUCUUGUAGAACUUGUCAGCUGGUGCUUUCAGUUCGACUUCAGCCACCAGUCUUCCCUGCAAAUUAGCCAUGUUGGCACAAAUAUUGAGACUUCAAAAUUCACCAAGUUCGUUAGAACACUGGCCUGCGUUGAGAAAAAAGUAGCGUUACUUGUUUCUUAUAUAGACUUUGGCGUUCAUUUUCGUCUCUACUUCAGGUCCCACACAUCAUGAUUCACAUGGUCCUUGAUAUGUUCAUCAAUUAUAUCUCCCUGUCAAAUUGUUAUUGGUUUAUAAAAUGUAUUUUGGACCAAUAAAAAGAUAUGACCGAGCGAUUACAGCUGUGGCCUGUCAAAUAAUUGAAGCAAUUCAAGACUUCUAUCUAUAUCGGUCAUCAGAAAUUAAAGGCCUAAUUCAUUCAUUUCUUAUUUUCUCAUAAUGAGUUCCAAUAUUCUAUGAAAGUUGCGAGUGGAAAUCAUCUUCUACUCUGAUUGAUCUGCCCAGGUAAACUUAAGAUUAUACCCGAUGCAUAAAAUAAUGAAAGAGGUAACUUACCUGGCCUACAGGUGGACUCUCAGGUGUAUUUGGUGAGUUAUAAGAUGCCUUCAUCAUUUCUCUAUAUUAUUAUGAUGAUGCGCAUGAGAGGGUGUUAAAGCCAAAAAAAGGUUUUAUAUUUGACAUAUAAUUCAUUAGUUUUAAUUUUUUAAGUGGAGAUGAGCCUAACUAGAUAAUAGAUGUAUUGAUAGGCGUAGAUUUGGGGUCUCUCUUGAUACAGGUGAAGAUAUCAGAGUUAUGUUGCACAUCUCAAUGAGUGUUUUCUCAAAAUAAGAAUUUACAAUGUGACUCUUUGAUCGUGGUGGUAGAUGGUAUCCCUUGCUUCUUGCCAAGUUUAAUUGGGCAAAAGCGAUUGAGGUAAAGUCAGAAGGACAAACGUUAUUCACGCAAAUUUGGCAAGGCCAAGGUAGAGAUUCGAGUUAAGAAUAUUGGUACAGAAGGACCUUUGAAUUAAGGAGGAGCUAGCCUAAGGAAGAGACUCAUGCUUGGAGGGAGAUUUGUUUAAGUGGAUGUGUGAAGGUAUUAGGUGAAAAAAGUCUCACUUCAGUUGAUAAGGUGUAAGAUGGAGCAAUUUAUUUGGCUCAAUAAAUAAUUGGUUUAAGCUUUUGAAGGUGCAGAUGAGUCUAACUAGAUAAAUUGAUAGGCUCAGAAUUGGGCUCUCUCAAGAUGUGGUGUAAAGUGAGCAAUUAAUUUAGCCGACUAACUCAUUGGUUCAAGUUUUCGGAGUGGAGAUUGAUAAUGCUAGUACGAGUACCUAGAGGGGGGGUGAAUAGGUUUAUAAAAUUUCUUGAAGAUUGCACAAUACUUAGACAGAUGAAUGAUUAAAGAAUCAAUCGUAAGACUGAGUAAAGGAAAGAGAGAAUUAAACACGAGGUUUAUAGUGGUUCGGCUUGAUUCAAGCAUACGUCCACUCUUCUGCACUGACAGCCGAUUGGCUGGAUUCCACUAUGAACAAAGAGAUGUUACAGUGUUGAUCUUCCUUGAUUUCUCGAUGUAGAUGAUCUACUACACUCGCUCAAGGUAUCACCAAGUAUAAACACUCUCUGUGUGUACAAUUUCGCUCGAACUGUAUCGACUAACAAUCAAGGUUCUUCAGACUCUGGAAUUUUUCUAUCGAUCACACACUUAAAACAACUACAACGUCUUCCUUUUAUACUCCUUUAUGUCAUCAUAGCCGUUGGCACUUACCAAAGGAAUUCCUCCAACCUACCCGUUGGUCGGAAUCAAUUAAGAAGAUCAUCCGAGCUAUUUAAGGAAUCUGAUGAUAGCCCAUCAAUCAUGUUCGCCCAUACAAUCAGGAUUUUGGUUUCCAAGAAUAGAACAUUCCAAGAAUGUUUCGUCGACCAUCGGAUCUUCUAUUGUUCUUAAAUGAGAAUCAAAAAAUCCGUAGUGAUUAUCCAACCAAGGGAUCUUUUCCAGAGGAUUGGAUCGAAUCCCCAACCAUAUACUUCGGCUUCGGAUAUCCUUCGCCACUGGAUUAAGAAGACUGUCGGUGAGAAUAAUCUUGAGUCUUGAGUCUUGAGUCUUGAGUCUUGAGAUUACAAAGUCUUGAGACUUUAACUAUCGAUAUCCAGACUAGACUGAUAGAAAGCAAUUAAUUUAGCCGACUAACUCAUUGGUUCAAGUUUUCGGAGUGGAGAUAAGUCUAAUUAGAAGUAUUGAUGGGUUUGGAGUUGGACUCUCUCUUCUCCAUCUCCCCAAGUGAAGGUAUUAAGCUGCUUCUUUUACACUCCUAACAAUUGUUACACAUUAAUAUACUAAAUAUACUAAGAUCAGUCUAUAAAGUUUUGUACACUAAGCGACAAGACGGAGUGUAAGUAAACAUAUAAUCAAGUUGAUCAUUGUCCAGACCCAAUAAAAAGCCUGUCAUGUCGUAUAGUAUACAAUUUUGUGUUAUUGUCUCAAUAUACUUAGCCACAAAAAAGUCGACCAUUGAUGCUUGACCGACCAUUUCAAGAAAAAAUUUCAACACAAGACUUAAUGGAGAGACCGUAUACUCCAAAUUGACCAUAAGAGGCCAUUCUACCCUCCACGCACAAUUGCCAAAAACACUGGUGGAUGGAUGCUUGCUUUAGUUGACCAACAUUUCCCGGAUAUAAGAGUUAACCAACAAUUGUAGCAAACUAGUUGAAGAUUGUUUGGUAGGCACUUGCAACCUUACCCUCUUGAUGAAGGAUCUGUGGUUCACAAUCUCCAUUACGGACGCGGUGCUCAUGUUUUUUGGCAUCCAUUUUGUUAUGUUUUGCUAUGAGAGGACAGGACAACUGCAUUUAAUUACGGUCUUGGAGUGGUGUCUUAUGAUCGAGUACUUUUUCUAUAUAAUGUGGCUGUUGAUUGGUUUUCAAUCGCGGCAAAUUGCUUGAUCCAAAUUAGGGUUCGAAGAAUUUUGAUAAUGGCUUGAUCUGUCUGAAUUAUGGUUUAUAUGUAGGGCAAAACAUAAAGACCAUGUUGUUUAGGAGGCACACUAGCUAGCCGCGUCAACUUGGGAAAUUAAUAAAAUAUUGUCAUGUCAAAUUUCCAGCAUCCAAAAUUGAAAUUGUUACUCAAGUGAUUCGACGAAACACAAGUGUCAUAACUUUCGUGCUAAAGUGAUAUACCUUUUGUUUCAACCAUUUGAAUCGAAAUAAAAAAAGAUGGUGGACUUUAAAUAACCAUAUUUUGCUUUUUGAAACCCCAAUCAAUCUUCAAGACACCAAAAAAAAAAAAAAAAAAUUAAGGGCUAAUCAACGGCCUUAGUCUUACCUGCAAUGUAUUCCAAAUCUUAUAUAAUAUCUUAGCUGGCGAUUUCAGCUCCAAUUCGCCAUGCAAUGUCAUUUUGCGUUUUCGAAACGAAGAGUUAACUAAAGUUCAAAAUAUGAACGCUCAUGUGCAAACAAGUUAGCAUGGAUACACUUCAUAUGUAUAGAUGAUGAAGGCCCCCGAUUGCCAUUAUUUAUGUUUCUACAGGGCCGUGCAAGGCAUGAUUCAUGUGAUCCUUGGUAUUCGUUUUCAUGUUUUAGUCAACCUUCUAACUAAUCGGUUUAUUAAAUGAGCAUGCGCAUUGCCAAAAAAAAAAAAAUCUUAUUUAAUUAAUAGCUCGUCAAUUUUCACAAAUCGCACGACUUUAAUCAUAUACUAAUUUAGCCAAUUGUAUAGAUUCGCAAAUCUUAUGGAUCUAGCACAUUGUCCAUAUCUUUCGCCAAGAAAAAAUGAGUCCUACCCUAAACCCACCUGUCAAAGAGACAAUCUUUUCCUAGAGUGCUAAGAUCAUUCCUAUCGUGUGCUUGUGGUCCAUAGUUGAAAUGGGAUUUACAUUGUUUCAUUUAUGUAUGUCAAAAUGCGAUUAGCCGAUUUGGUCAAAACUCCAAAGGUGCGAUCAUUGUUUCGUGUCUAUAUGUACAUGCAUGACACACAUAUAUGCAUGUGUGAAAUUGUUGUCACCGCCAAAGAAAAAAAAGGCUAGAAUGUGAAGACUACGUGAUCAUUGUCAUAUCAUCUCAAAUUAUCUAUACAACAGAAAUGGAUGAACCGAAAUAUAGAAACUAAAGUCCGCAAAUACGAGAACAAUCUUGCGAACGCACAACUUUGCAUGAAAACAAAGGAAUUCUCUCUCUCUCUCUCUCUCUCUCUCUAAAUGUAUUCUGAUCAAUAAUGAAAAAGCUUUUUGUUCUCCUAACGAGAAACUUAUUUGUGAUAGAGAAAAAUGUAAUCUAAAAAUUAUAAAAAUAUCUAAUUCAUAUCACAAAAUAACAGCAAGUUCAAAAUAUAUAUAUCUUUAAAAAAGGAUUUCCUGAAUUAACUAAACUAAUAAUUCUAAAAGCUUAUCUUCUUGAACACUCAUGUAGGUCUUCAUCAAAUCAUAAUGUAUGUUCUUACAAAUUUGUGCAUUGUAAAUUGAAUGAAUUGUUUAUUGAAGACAGCAUUGCUCUUUAAUUGAUAUGAUGAAGAUAUCAUCGAAAUGAUAUAUUUGAUAUGAUUGCCCUUGAUUGAUUUAUUGGGAUAUUGUACAUGGAAAAUUGAUUUUUCCGACAAAAUCAUCCUUGAAAAAUGGAGGUACUCCAAUUAAUAGUCAACUUUCAUGUUGUAGUCAUACUCACAUGUUAUAACUCAACCCCAAUAAGAGGAGACGUCUGCACUCCAUCACUCAGGCUAUCACAAGAAUUGACAAUACUUCUACAAAUUCGCCCUCCGGGAAAAGGGAGGGACUUCCUUGCCACUGCGAGGAUUUUAAGAAAGGGAGCUAGCUUGGCAAAUGAACUCUCUUUCCGUGGAACAUGAAAAGAACACGAUAUAACCGUCGAAACAAUAAUAAUCAUCCAUAAUUCAGCUUGCAUCCUCGACUUUUGAAAUAUACAUCUAGUACCCUGAGAUAAAGACGUACGCAAUCAUGGGGGUCUAAACAGCUGUGUAAAAUAGACAAGGCAAAGUUUGGUUUUUUUAUGAGGAAAAAAAAAAACAAGGUACAAAGCACAUUAAUUUUGACAUUAUUGAAACUACUGGAUGAAAAAAAAUAAUAAUGGAAAAAUGAAGGAUCACUUUCGUAACGCUAAGAUACUAUAUGGCACGUAUGAAUGAUAGAUUGAACAAUGAACGGAAAGAAUUUUACGCUAGGCACAAACAGCAAGAAAUUCAAGGUGAGUGCAAGAAAGAAAAUGAACUAGGAAAUGGUUGAAAAUAAGCAUGACUCGGAUAUCAUACAUACUAAAUGAUCCAACAUAGAAAUCGGAAGGUUUAUUCAAAUGGUAAUCAUGUUCGUCCUUCUUACUCAGGACUUGAAUUUGAAUCGCUAUACUUGCACAUUCUUCUAGGACCACUCCAAAGAACAUAGACCAAUGUGUCUCGAAUAAUUACACACCCAAAAUUUGUGGUAUAAGAGGACCGUUGCGCAUGAUAAGAAUAAGUUAGAAGUUCAAAACAUUCCAGACAUCCCAUUGAAUUCUGAAAAUAAUGGAACCCUAACACUUAAAUGGUCAACAAGGCGAUGCAAAUUUUAUCUAUCGUAAAAUGAAGAUUAAAUAGCUAAGUGAAUUACCAACCUAACAAAAAAGGAUGAAUGCAUAAAACAUUUCCCUCCUUCGGCAAGAUCCUAAAUGUUCUUUUGUUGGGUGAUCCAAAAGAACGGGGUAGAGUCGAUGUGGCCUUCCUUCCGGCUCAAGAUUCGGCUUAGUCCUAGAAAAAAUAAAUUCAAGAAAUUUAACUUUACUUAAGAAAAAAAUUAAAUCAAUUUAGUAUGGGUUCGUUUCAUGGAAAAUGUGACGUUUUUAGAAAAUAUUUUUCAAAAAGUCAUUUUUUAAGAAAAUGAUAAUAUUCUCAGAUGUUCAGCUAAAAUCUGAAAUGAACUAAAAAAAAAUAUUUUUUACCGUUUGAUAGGAUAAUUAGAUUUUCAAGGGAAAAAUUACCAAAAAAAAUCAAUUUUUUUAAUUUUCUUUUCUUUUCCUUCUUUUUAUUUUUCCUUCUUCCUCAGCCAGUGACCAACCGCUAGGCGUCGGCCAUCAUUGCGGCCGACCACUACUCGAGGAAGAAGGAAAAAAGAAAAGAAAAACGAGAAAAAGACAAAAGAUAAAUAAUUAAAAACUUGAUUUGUUUAAAUAUUUUUAUAAGAACGAAUAAUCCAUUAGUCAAGGACUUGAGCUCAAGUAUCGAGGACUUGCAUAUGACCUUUGUGGACUAGAGCUCAAGCAUCGAGGAUCCGAGUAUGUCCUUCAUGGGCUCCAGCCUAGGUGCCGAAGAAUCGAACAUGGGCACCAGGGGUUUGGGCACAGCCUCAAUGACCCCGGUGUGAACCCAAGCCCUAUCACUAGAGACCUUAUGUUAGAACUUUUGUGCUCAAGCGUAGAAUUUUCAAUUUAAAUGCAGAUAUUCAGUCAUAUUUUGGAAAAUAUUUUUCAUUUUUUCAAAGGAGACAAUCAUUUUUUCUAAAUUUAAGUGUAGUUUUCCAUUGACUAGGAAAAUAUUUUCCCGAAAAAAUGUUCCCUGCAAAACAAACAGAGCCUUGGAAGUGGUUCAUCUUUUACGAGUGGAAAUUAUAGCAUCCCUUGCAAAUUGAGUAAUAACUGUCCUUGAACCAAAUAUAAUCUAAGCAUGGCAAAAUUCUAAAGGACAGGGACAUGUCUGCUUUCAGUAUUAAUAAGAUCAUGGCAAUUAGAUUUCGCUUUGAGGAAAUAGGGUUACGGAAAUCUAUCUCUAGAAAGAUAUGCGCCACCACUAAAACUAUCUUUUGGAUCACUUAUUUAACCGUGGUAAAGUCAUAGCAUAUCAUCAUAGUCGCAUGUAAGGUUUUCAAUUUUUAAUGCUUGACAACAUUUUGAACAACUCUAACAAUCGCCAAUAAGCUGCACCUCAUAUUCGACAGCGGAAUUUUUAACCAUAGUCACAAUAUUAAGGUGCAGGCGAAAAGUUAUUGAAGAAAAUUAGGAUUCAUGCUACAUAGAUUCUUGAUUAUAGGAUAUUUUCUUUUCUGGCCAGUUAAGCUAAAGCUCAAUACAUGAAAAAUCACGCGAGGAACAAUCUAAAAUUCCUAAGAAGUCACCUGAAAUACGUCUAAAAAUCGUGUGCAUCAAAUCAACUACUCUACAGAAAUAUAAUCUUUAUUCAAUCUUAAUUAAGUUGUGUUUCGAUGUUGUUUAUUGUGAUUAGGUAUUGUCACGGUGCGAUUUUAUAUUCUUAUGCGCAAUUGAAAUGGUCAAGUAAACGCGCCCACAGUCCAAAUCUUGAACGGUAAUCUGUGGAGGGAUCAAAUCAAAGAAUGUGCUAGCUUCCCCCAAACAAAUCAUUUUGCAAAAACCACAAGCGCGUUUUAUUACAAACACAAUACCACAUGAACACAAUACACGAAAUCUCAUAUUUCCAAACCCAACUAAACUUCAGAUCACCUGAUCAACCAGCUUGAUUUAUUGGAUCAUCGCCAUACGUGGAAGUAUCAGAAAUCUCAAGCAUUAUAUAGCGCUACUUCAUAUCCGAUAAUAGUCGUGACAUGAUCUUUUCCUUCAUGCGCUUGCAAUGUGAGCAUCGAUAUCCUUGGUCAUAUCGACGAGCACAGCCAUGUACUUGUCGGGGCUAGGGUCACUCUCCUUGUACUUCUCGUACUCCAUGCUCAGCUUGGCCACACUGCCUUGCCCCUUUGGGACGACUUUGCAAGCCGCUUUGAAGACCUUCCACGUGUCAAAGAUGUGGCCCUCGAUGCCAUGGAGGGUGAAUGACAUGUUGUCGUCAUCGAACUCGACCUUCUCUUUGAACACUUCGGAUUUUCCUUCUAUACAAUUACACCGGCAAAAAUAGAAGGGUUAAGUUAGAGACUGCUGUCAAUUUAAUUUAAGUGACAACAUGGAAUAAAAUUGAUAAUUAGAGAGAUCAGAUUGAACCAAUUACCAACGGUGUAAUUCCAAAUCUUGAUAGCUCCAUGUUGAUCCCAGUCACCUUCGUGAACUUUAAUUCCUUGAAUGUUUUUGGAGGUGGCGGUGGGCAUUUUGUGGGUUUCGCUCCUCCAAAUCUUGUAGAACUUGUCAGCUGGUGCUUUCAGUUCGACUUCAGCCUCCAGUUUUCCCUGCAAAUUAGCCAUGUUG